UACGGAGGGUGCGAGCGUUGUCCGGAAUCACUGGGCGUAAAGGGCGCGUAGGCGGCCCUGGCAGUCGGUGGUGAAAGCCCAGAGCUCAACUCUGGAACGGCCUUUGAGACUAGAGGACUUGGGUACGGGAGAGGUGAGUGGAAUUCCGAGUGUAGAGGUGAAAUUCGUAGAUAUUCGGAAGAACACCAGUGGCGAAGGCGGCUCACUGGCCCGUUACCGACGCUCAGGCGCGACAGCGUGGGGAGCAAACAGG
rnacentral:rRNA from 1 species